rnacentral:rRNA from 1 species
GCCCCUUACGCUCUGGGCGACACACGUACUACAAUGGUCGGGACAGAGGGCAGCUAACCUGCGUAGGCAAGCUAAUCCCAGAAACUCGGCCUCAGUUCAGAUCGCAGGCUGCAACUCGCCUGCGUGAAGGAGGAAUCGCUAGUAAUCGCCGGUCAGAAUACGGCGGUGAAUCCGUUCCCGGGCCUUGUACACACCGCCCGUCACACCAUGGAAGCUGGCCACGCCCGAAGUCGUUACCCUAACCUUUAGGGGAGGGGGACGCCGAAGGCAGGGUUGGUGACUGGGGUGAAGUCGUAACAAGGUAGCCGUACCGGAAGGUGUGGCUGGAUCACCUCCUUUUU